rnacentral:rRNA from 1 species
GCAAGUCGAACGGUAACAGGCAGAGCUUGCUCUGUGCUGACGAGUGGCGGACGGGUGAGUAACACGUGGAUAAUCUACCUCCUUGUUUGGGAUAGCUUGUGGAAACAUAAGGUAAUACCAAAUGAGAUUCAUUAGUCAAAAGGCUUUUGAAGGAAAGGCGCUGAGGCGUCGCAAGGAGAUGAGUCCGCGGCCCAUUAGCUAGACGGCAGGGUAAAAGCCUACCGUGGCAAUGAUGGGUAGCCGGCCUGAGAGGGUGAUC